GACAGAGGUGCCGAGCGUUAGGCGGAAUCCCUGGGCUUAAAGCGUGUGUAGGCGGAUCGUUAAGUACCUUGUGAAAUCCCACGGCUUAACCGUGGAACUGCUGGGUAUACUGGCGAUCUUGAGGUGCUCAGGGGCGAGCGGAACAGAUGGUGGAGCGGUGAAAUGCGUAGAUAUCAUCUGGAACGCCUGCGGUGAAAACGGCUCGCUGGGAGCAAUCUGACGCUGAGACACGAAAGCCAGGGGAGCGAGCGGG
rnacentral:rRNA from 1 species